rnacentral:rRNA from 1 species
UACAGAGACCUCAAGCGUUAUCCGGAUUCAUUGGGCGUAAAGCGUCUGUAGGGGGUUUGAUUAGUCUCCCGUUAAAGCACGGGGCUUAACUCCGUAAGCGCGGGGGAAACGGUCAAACUUGAGUGCGCAAGAGGCAAGCGGAACUCACGGUGUAGCAGUGAAAUGCGUUGAUAUCGUGGGGAACACCAAAGGCGAAGGCAGCUUGCUGGGGCGUUACUGACCCUGAGAGACGAAAGCGUGGGUAGCGAAU